GACGAACGCUGACGGCGUGCUUAACACAUGCAAGUCGAAGGGAGUGGCGAACGGGUGAGUAACACGUGAGUAACCUGCCCAUUUAUUUGGGAUAAGCCUGGACAACUGGGUCUAAUCAUGGAUGGAUUGGGAUGGGCUCGCGGCUGAUCAGCUUGUUGGUGGGGUGAUGGCUUCCCAAGGCUUUGACGGGUAGCCGGCCGGAGAGGGGUGUCGGUCAUUAUUGUACUGUGAUACGGCCCAGACUCCGACGGGAGGCAGCAGUGGGGUAUAUUGCACAAUGGACGAAAGUCUGAUGCAGCGACGUCGUGGGGGGGAUGAAGGUCUUCGGGUUGUAAACUCCUUUCGCCCGCGGAAUGGUAGUGGGUAAAGAAGCGCCUGCUAACUACGUGCCAGCAGCCGCGGUAAUAC
rnacentral:rRNA from 1 species